UUGCACAGUGAACACCCAAAUGUGCUUUAUAGUUCCCUUGGCUUUGACUCUGUGCUAGAGUCUGUACUUUUCCUUCACAUCGAAAGGACUGUCUAUCCUAUAAAUGUAUUCAGAAAGUAAGCAUAUUA